UGCUUUGCACAGUGGCAGUAUCAUUGCCAGUGAUGUUAAUCUGAGGUGCAAUUACUGCUAAUUUAAAACUUUUCCCAAUAUGCUGCAACGAUGAUUAGAAAUGUAGUUGGUAUUGACAAUUUUCCAUUGCAUUGCAUAUGG